rnacentral:rRNA from 1 species
AUUGAACGCUGGCGGCAGGCUUAACACAUGCAAGUCGAGCGAGCGGAGGACGGGUGAGUAAUGUAUGGGAAACUGCCUGAUGGAGGGGGAUAACUACGAGAAACGGUAGCUAAUACCGCAUACCAUCAGAUGUGCCCAGAUGGAAUUAGUUAGUAGGGGGGGUAAUGGCUCACCUAGGCGACGAUACCUAGCUGGGCUGAGAGGAUGAACAGCCACACUGGAACUGAGACACGGUCCAUACUCCUACGGGAGGCAGCAGUGGGGAAUAGUGCACAAUGGGCGCAAGCCUGAUGCAGCCAUGCCGCGUUGGUGAAGAAGGCCUUCGGGUUGUAAAGCACUUUCAGCGAGGAGGCGUUACUCGCAGAAGAAGCACCGGCUAACUCCGUGCCAGCAGCCGCGGUAAUAC